UGACAAAAAAAAAAAAUUAAAAAAAAUAUGUGCGUUCCAAUGUGAAAAUAGAGUGAAACAUCCUUGUGUCUUUGUGGUUUAUCUGUGCAUGUUUUUUCGUCGUUAAAAAAAAUGUUACUGAGAAACGAGACACAGACAUACUCACGUGCUGUUAUAAACAUCUGUGACUAGUACGCCAGCGUCAGACGACCAUCAAGAAAAUAGCAGAUCUCAUCAUCACGCAACCAAUUAUAUCGGAAAACUAAACAGUUGCAUUAAAGAUAUAGCCAAGAUGACAG